UUUUUUUUUUUUUUUUUUUUUUUUUUUUUGCUCCUCCAUUUUGAGUGGGUGCUCCUCCAUUUGAGCAAAAGUAGGAGAGAAAUGGAGGAGCGCAGCUCCUCCAUUUCAAAAA
rnacentral:ribozyme from 14 species